UAGGAACUGCUCCGUCCUGUGUUCCCAUAGCUGCACAAGUCACCUGGGAAAUAGGCCCAAACUGCUGUUAUCAUUUAUUUGCCUCUGAAUUGGUGAAGUUCCAAAGAAUGGCCAAGUUCUGCACAGGGCUGAAGCCUUUGGGAUGCUGGAAGUGGAUACUGGGGAUGAGCCUUGUUUUCCCAACACUUCAGGAUUUUGCUGGGGUUUUAAGGACAGUGAAAUUACUGAUAAAUUAUAGAGCAAAGUCUCUGGACUCCCCCCAAGAGCAGUGAGAAUUAAACUGAGCAGAAGUUAAUGUGAGCAAGUGUUCACUUCCCAAUAUCCUACAGAACAUUUCCUCCAGCCAUGGUUUAUGUUAAACUGGAAGUGGAUUGGGCUCAAACCCCUGAGAACAGAGCUCAAUCCUGUUUGGAAGAAGCCACAAUAUCCUCCCCCCAUCCCCAAGCCCUGCCACGGGUGGGCUGGAAGGGAACAAGGAAGGAAAAUGGACUGAAUUCAGUGAGUGCAUCCAGAGGAUAUUGAGCUGCAGGAUCAUUUGUGUCAGAAGAAUCACACAGCUUGAUGGCACAGGGAUUUCAUUGUCCCUAAAUCAUCUCAGAUAUGGUAAUACCAUACCCAGGGACUAAUAUUGCUGACUAUAAUUCCUGAGAAAUGGCACCUUCUCCUGUAGUUGGUGGAGAUGA